rfam:Scleropages formosus scaffold6807, whole genome shotgun sequence.
UCUGAAACUUGGUGUGGAUACAGAGAAGCUACAGUUUCAGA